rnacentral:lncRNA from 1 species
UUAUGGUUGUGAUAGGAAUGCAUUGAACAAAUAAUGAAAGUCACUUUUAUGUGCUUUUUUCCCACAGACUCCCAGAGUGGACUGAGUCUUUGAAAAGCCCAAUCACCAUUCCAGUCUUCAGGACAGGUGAAAACUCGAUAUACUUUUUUCUCCUUAGAAUCCAGGUUGCCCUUUGCUGUUGGUG